AAUAUUGGACAAUGGGGGCAACCCUGAUCCAGCCAUGCCGCGAGUGUGAAGAAGGUCUUCGGAUUGUAAAGCACUUUAAGUUGGGAGGAAGGGCUUUAGGUUAAUACCCUGAAGUUUUGACGUUACCAACUGAAUACGCACCGGCUAACUCUGCACCAGCAGCCGCGGUAAUACAGAGGGUGCAAGCGUUAAGCGGAAUUACUGGGCGUAAAGCGCGCGUAGGUGGUUCAGUAAGAUGGGUGUGAAAUCCCCGGGCUUAACCUGGAAGCUGCUUUCAUAACCGCUGAGCUAGAGUACGGUAGAGGGUAGUGGAAUUUCCUGUGUAGCGGUGAAAUGCGUAGAUAUAGGAAGGAACACCAGAGGCGAAGGCGACUACCUGGACUGAUACUGACACUGAGGUGCGAAAGCGUGGGGAGCAAAC
rnacentral:rRNA from 1 species